AGUGAACGCUGGCGGUAGGCCUAACACAUGCAAGUCGAACGGCAGCACAGUAAGAGCUUGCUCUUACGGGUGGCGAGUGGCGGACGGGUGCGGAAUACAUCGGAAUCUACUUUUUCGUGGGGGAUAACGUAGGGGAACUUACGCUAAUACCGCAUACGACCUACGGGUGGGAGCAGGGGAUCUUCGGACCUUGCGCGAUUGAAUGAGCCGAUGUCGGAUUAGCUAGUUGGCGGGGUAAAGGCCCACCAAGGCGACGAUCCGUAGCUGGUCUGAGAGGAUGAUCAGCCACACUGGAACUGAGACACGGUCCAGACUCCUACGGGAGGCAGCAGUGGGGAAUAUUGGACAAUGGGCGCAAGCCUGAUCCAGCCAUACCGCGUGGGUGAAGAAGGCCUUCGGGUUGUAAAGCCCUUUUGGUGGGAAAGAAAAGCAGCAGGUUAAUACCCCGCUGUUCUGACGGUACCCAAAGAAUAAGCACCGGCUAACUUCGUG
rnacentral:rRNA from 1 species